rnacentral:rRNA from 1 species
AGAGUUUGAUCAUGGCUCAGGACGAACGCUGGCGGCGUGCUUAACACAUGCAAGUCACGGGGGCCCGCAAGGGCAACCGGCGAACGGGUGCGUAACACGUGAGCAACCUACCUCGAUGUGGGGGAUAGCCGGCCCAACGGCCGGGUAAUACCGCAUACGAUUCAUGAGGGGAGUCCCUUGUGAAGGAAACCUCCGGGGCAUUGAGAGGGGCUCGCGGCCUAUCAGCUAGUUGGCGAGGUAACGGCUCACCAAGGCGACGACGGGUAGCUGGUCUGAGAGGAUGGCCAGCCACAUUGGGACUGAGAGACGGCCCAGACUCCUACGGGAGGCAGCAGUGGGGAAUCUUGCGCAAUGGCCGAAAGGCUGACGCAGCGACGCCGCGUGUGGGAUGAAGCAUUUCGGUGUGUAAACCACUGUUGCCCGGGACGAACAGCUUCUUUCGAGGAGCCUGACGGUACCGGGUGAGGAAGCACCGGCUAACUCCGUGCCAGCAGCCGCGGUAAUACGGAGGGUGCGAGCGUUGUCCGGAAUCACUGGGCGUAAAGGGCGCGUAGGCGGCCCGGCAAGUCAACGGUGAAAGCUUGGGGCUCAACCCCGAGUCGGCCGUCGAUACUUCCGGGCUGGAGCACUGUAGAGGCAGGUGGAAUUCCGGGUGUAGCGGUGGAAUGCGUAGAGAUCCGGAAGAACACCGGUGGCGAAGGCGNNNUGCUGGGCAGUAGCUGACGCUGAGGCGCGACAGCGUGGGGAGCAAACAGGAUUAGAUACCCUAGUAGUCC